GUUGGCUUAGUGUAAUUGGCUGCACAGCAGUCUCCAAAACUGCCGGUAUAGGUUCGAUCCCUAUAGCCAACGCCA
rnacentral:tRNA from 1 species